AACGCUGGCGGCGUGCUUAACACACUGCAAGUCCAACGAUGAAGCUGGAGCUUGCUCCGGUGGAUUAGUGGCGAACGGGUGAGUAACACGUGAGAAAUCUUGCCCUUGACUCUGGGAUAACUGCGGGAAACUGUAGCUAAUACCGGAUACUUUCCCUGGUGGGCAUCCACUGGGGAAGAAAGAAUUUCGGUCAAGGAUGAUCUCGCGGCCUAUCAGCUAGUUGGUGAGGUAACGGCUCACCAAGGCGACGACAGGGUAGCCGGCCUGAGAGGGUGACCGGCACACUGGGACUGAGACACGGCCCAGACUCCUACAGGAGGCAGCCAGUGGGGAAUAUUGCACAAUGGGCGCCCAGCCUGAUGCAGCAACGCCGCGUGAGGGAUGACGGCCUUCGGGUUGUAAACCUCUUUUAGCAGGGAAGAAGCGAAAGUGACGGUACCUGCAGA
rnacentral:rRNA from 1 species